CGGGGCGUGGCUCAGUUUGGUAGAGCGCUACGUUCGGGACGUAGAGGCCGACAGUUCAAGUCUGUCCGCCCCGACUA
rnacentral:tRNA from 1 species